GGAUUGCAGUCUGCAACUCGACUGCAUGAAGCUGGAAUCGCUAGUAAUCGCGAAUCAGAAUGUCGCGGUGAAUACGUUCCCGGGCCUUGUACACACCGCCCGUCACACCAUGGGAGUUGGAAGCACCCGAAGUCGGUGACCUGACCGGAAGGGAGGAGCCGCCGAAGGUGAAGCCAGCGACUGGGGUGAAGUCGUAACAAGGUACC
rnacentral:rRNA from 1 species